rnacentral:rRNA from 1 species
GACGAACGCUGGCGGCGUGCUUAACACAUGCAAGUCGAACGGAAAGGCCCUGCUUUUGUGGGGUGCUCGAGUGGCGAACGGGUGAGUAACACGUGAGUAACCUGCCCUUGACUUUGGGAUAACUUCAGGAAACUGGGGCUAAUACCGGAUAGGAGCUCCUGCUGCAUGGUGGGGGUUGGAAAGUUUCGGCGGUUGGGGAUGGACUCGCGGCUUAUCAGCUUGUUGGUGGGGUAGUGGCUUACCAAGGCUUUGACGGGUAGCCGGCCUGAGAGGGUGACCGGCCACAUUGGGACUGAGAUACGGCCCAGACUCCUACGGGAGGCAGCAGUGGGGAAUAUUGCACAAUGGGCGGAAGCCUGAUGCAGCAACGCCGCGUGCGGGAUGACGGCCUUCGGGUUGUAAACCGCUUUCGCCUGUGACGAAGCGUGAGUGACGGUAAUGGGUAAAGAAGCACCGGCUAACUACGUGCCAGCAGCCGCGGUGAUACGUAGGGUGCGAGCGUUGUCCGGAUUUAUUGGGCGUAAAGGGCUCGUAGGUGGUUGAUCGCGUCGGAAGUGUAAUCUUGGGGCUUAACCCUGAGCGUGCUUUCGAUACGGGUUGACUUGAGGAAGGUAGGGGAGAAUGGAAUUCCUGGUGGAGCGGUGGAAUGCGCAGAUAUCAGGAGGAACACCAGUGGCGAAGGCGGUUCUCUGGGCCUUUCCUGACGCUGAGGAGCGAAAGCGUGGGGAGCGAACAGGCUUAGAUACCCUGGUAGUCCACGCUGUAAACGGUGGGUACUAGGUGUGAGGUCCAUUCCACGGGUUCCGUGCCGUAGCUAACGCUUUAAGUACCCCGCCUGGGGAGUACGGCCGCAAGGCUAAAACUCAAAGGAAUUGACGGGGCCCCGCACAAGCGGCGGAGCAUGCGGAUUAAUUCGAUGCAACGCGUAGAACCUUACCUGGGUUUGACAUGGAUCGGGAGUGCUCAGAGAUGGGUGUGCCUCUUUUGGGGUCGGUUCACAGGUGGUGCAUGGCUGUCGUCAGCUCGUGUCGUGAGAUGUUGGGUUAAGUCCCGCAACGAGCGCAACCCUUGUUCACUGUUGCCAGCACGUUAUGGUGGGGACUCAGUGGAGACCGCCGGGGUCAACUCGGAGGAAGGUGGGGAUGACGUCAAGUCAUCAUGCCCCUUAUGUCCAGGGCUUCACGCAUGCUACAAUGGCUGGUACAGAGAGUGGCGAGCCUGUGAGGGUGAGCGAAUCUCGGAAAGCCGGUCCCAGUUCGGAUUGGGGUCUGCAACUCGACCUCAUGAAGUCGGAGUCGCUAGUAAUCGCAGAUCAGCAACGCUGCGGUGAAUACGUUCCCGGGGCU